rnacentral:miRNA from 1 species
CAGGAUGCUGGUGACAUGAGU